rnacentral:tRNA from 1 species
GACUCUGUGGUGAAAGUUUCAUGGUGAGUUGCAAGCUCAUUGAUGCACGUUAAAAGAGUGCCGGAGUCU